GUGCUCGCUUGGGCAGCACAUGUACUAAAACUGGAACAAUACAGAGAAGAUUAGCAUGGCCCCUGAUUACACUUGAAAGAAAGAAAGAAAGGGAAAAUUG
rnacentral:snRNA from 1 species